rnacentral:rRNA from 1 species
CCUACGGGCGGCAGCAGUGAGGAAUAUUGGUCAAUGGACGCAAGUCUGAACCAGCCAUACCGCGUGCAGGAUGACGGCUCUAUGAGUUGUAAACUGCUUUUGUACGAGGGUAAACUCCGAUACGUGUACCGGUUUGAAAGUACUGUAUGAAUAAGGAUCGGCUAACUCCGUGCCAGCAGCCGCGGUAAUACGGAGGAUCCGAGCGUUAUCCGGAUUUAUUGGGUUUAAAGGGUGCGUAGACGGUUUGAUAAGUUAGUGGUGAAAUUUUGGGGCUCAACCCCGAAACUGCCUCUAAUACUGGUAGACUAGAGGAUAGUUGCGGUAGGCGGAA